rnacentral:rRNA from 1 species
GCCUAGAUGAUUUUAGUGCUUGCACUAAAUGAAACUAGAUACAAGCGAGCGGCGGACGGGUGAGUAACACGUGGGUAACCUGCCCAAGAGACUGGGAUAACACCUGGAAACAGAUGCUAAUACCGGAUAACAACACUAGACGCAUGUCUAGAGUUUGAAAGAUGGUUCUGCUAUCACUCUUGGAUGGACCUGCGGUGCAUUAGCUAGUUGGUAAGGUAACGGCUUACCAAGGCAAUGAUGCAUAGCCGAGUUGAGAGACUGAUCGGCCACAUUGGGACUGAGACACGGCCCAAACUCCUACGGGAGGCAGCAGUAGGGAAUCUUCCACAAUGGACGAAAGUCUGAUGGAGCAACGCCGCGUGAGUGAAGAAGGGUUUCGGCUCGUAAAGCUCUGUUGGUAGUGAAGAAAGAUAGAGGUAGUAACUGGCCUUUAUUUGACGGUAAUUACUUAGAAAGUCACGGCUAACUACGUGCCAGCAGCCGCGGUAAUACGUAGGUGGCAAGCGUUGUCCGGAUUUAUUGGGCGUAAAGCGAGUGCAGGCGGUUCAAUAAGUCUGAUGUGAAAGCCUUCGGCUCAACCGGAGAAUUGCAUCAGAAACUGUUGAACUUGAGUGCAGAAGAGGAGAGUGGAACUCCAUGUGGUAGC